rnacentral:rRNA from 1 species
GACGAACGCUGGCGGCGUGCUUAACACAUGCAAGUCGAACGGAAAGGCCCUGCUUUUGUGGGGUGCUCGAGUGGCGAACGGGUGAGUAACACGUGAGUAACCUGCCCUUGACUUUGGGAUAACUUCAGGAAACUGGGGCUAAUACCGGAUAGGAGCUCCUGCUGCAUGGUGGGGGUUGGAAAGUUUCGGCGGUUGGGGAUGGACUCGCGGCUUAUCAGCUUGUUGGUGGGGUAGUGGCUUACCAAGGCUUUGACGGGUAGCCGGCCUGAGAGGGUGACCGGCCACAUUGGGACUGAGAUACGGCCCAGACUCCUACGGGAGGCAGCAGUGGGGAAUAUUGCACAGUGGCCGGAAGCGUGAUGCAACAGCGCGGCGUGCGGGAUGACGGCUUUCGGGUGGUAAACCGCUUUCGCCUGUGACGAAGCGUGAGUGACGGUAAUGAGUAAAGAAGCACCGGCUAACUACGUG